rnacentral:snRNA from 1 species
UUUAUCAUCCUUCUGGUUUU